ACAUACAUACAUACAUACAUACAUACAUACAUACAUACAUACAUACAUACAUACAUACAUACAUAUAUUUGUUCACUUUCAAGCUUAUAAUCUUCAACUAGAUAUAUUCAUGUUUGUUCACUUUCAAGCUCAUAAUCAAAUGGAUCUAUCUAUACAUGCUUUUAUAUACAUAUGCAUAUAUUGGUGGUUACUGGGAUCAACAUAAACCACACUUAGAGAAAUGGCUCAAAUGGGUCUUUUCUUUUCUUUUGAUUUGAUAGAUCUAAAUCUAAUUUGCUUACAGGGAGACAAAGAGGGGGAGGUCUUCUCAUAUUUUUUAUUUUUUUGAUUCCUAGAUCCUAUUCAUUCUACUUUUGUUUAAACUUUUUCAGUGCUCUGUGAGGGAGUGAAAUCAGAAAUUUUUCUUUAUUUAUUUGAGUCUUGCUUUUUUGCCGCUCUUUUUUUUUUUUCACUGGUAAAAGAGAGAAACAUGUAUCCUCUGUUUUCAUUGUCAUCUUUUUCAGUAUUUUCUUUUCCAGAGGACGGACGUGAGCCUUUUUCUCCUUUUAUAUUGUUUCCCAGUUUGUUGUCAUAUCUAUAGAUAUCAUUUUCAUUUGAUUUUUUGUAUGUUGAAUUUGAUUUUAUUUUAUGGGGGUGUUUAAUUUGAUUGAUAGCAACAAAAAAGAUUUAAUUUAAUUUUUUUAUUUUUAUUUUUAUAUAGGUGGAAGUAGAAGCAUUGGUGAUACGAAGUCCAAACUUGAACUUGGGCUUUUUGUACAAGAAAAGCAAUUGUCAAAAUUGACCUGACCAACUUUGGUCAAUUUGAUAGAGAUAAAGUUCACAUUAGAGAGCUUGAGGAAGAAGUGAAACUUUUUAACAACCUUUCGCAUCUAAACAUUGUGGUAAGUAUCUGAUUUGCAUUCUUACUAAAGCAUUUUAACAUUUCCUUUUGUUGGUCAUCCCUUAGAAAACAAUUCAAAUAUCUUUCUGUGCCUAUCCAUAAAUUCUUCAAAAGGUAAGGUAUAACUUCCAGUUUUUUGUUGUAAUAAUAACAUUCUAAUGAUUGUUCAAAUAUAAGUGAUGAUCCUCGCCACCAUACAUAGAACUUUAAAUCCAAAUGAAAUUCUAAUUUUUCAAGGCAAUUAAAAUCCAUUGGGGUUUCCGUUAUAUAAUUUGUUGUGGUAUUGCUUUGUUUUCACUUAAAAUCCAUUGGCUUUGGUCUGGUUUCCUUUGCUUAUAUAGAGUUCUGAGCCAUUAUAUUGGUUUUCAUUUUUCUGGAUAAUUAAUUAUUUUCUUUUAUCCAUCAAUGUCGAUAGCUAUUGUGGGCAAUUUAGAAGUUGAUUUCAAUAAUUUUCCAUGAUUCUUUGAUUUUGAAGCCCAACACAUGCUCUACAUAGUGGAUUUGUGGUGAUUCUCUCUCUCUCUCUCUCUCAAGAUUUAUAUUUAAUGGGUUCAAUAACUUUUUCGUGGUGAGCACCAAACUUAGAUUUUGAGAUAUAUUUUUCAUGUGAAUGGGUUGUUAUUUUGUGCUUUUAUUGGCAUAUUAGUACGAGAUUUUGGGAUUUUUACUAUUUUGUUAUUACAUUAUUGUACAGAGAGGUUUUCAUUUGAACCUUUCUCACCUUUAUUUCCCCCCCCCCAAUAUUUACUGUACAUUUGUAAUCUCAUCAUAUACCACCAGUUGAGUCCACGUGUGGAAUGAUUCAUAAUGGAAUGAUUUCCACUCACUCCCACCCCCUAUCUUAGUUAUAUCUAAAUACAAUUUUGGUUUUUUUAAUUGGUACAAAUCUAUUUAAUUUUCAUGGAAUUCGAAACUUUACCAAUGGAAGCAAUUUCAAGUUGAGGCAUGAGUUAUAGAUAUAAAAGGUAAAUUCAUGACUUAAUUUGUUUUAUACUUACAGAAGUUGAGUUGGAAUUUUUAUUUACUAAGAUUUCAAAUUCAUGAUUAAUGAUUAAUUUCAAGUUUUUAUUCAAAUUCAAAUUCAUGACUUAAUUUCAAUUUUUUAUUUACUUAUAGAAGUUGUGUUAAUGAUUAAUAUUUGAAUUUUUUUUUCCAAUUAAUUGGUUUUGAAUUUCAUAACUUAAUUAUUUAGAUUUGUAAUAUCAUCCAGUUUAAUUUUUGAUUAAUCUCAUUAACAAAAGUAUUCUUAUUUACAUAGAAUUCUCUAAUUGGUUGUUUAGAAUUUCAUCAAUAUUAGUUGGUUUAAUAGAGAAGCCUUCUAUUUGAUUUCCAAAUUCUAUUUUUUUCAUAGUGGAAUCUAAUCUCUAUUUGUUCUUGGUAUUAUUGAUUGGUUGGUUAUUGAUAUUGACAUAAAACAGUGCAUUUUUAGCUUAAAUUUAAUAUUAUUAGUUUGGCAUCUGCAUGUGUGUGGUUUUGAUUGAUUGCUUGAAAUAGAUGGUUUGAUUCUUGAUCAAAAGAAAACAUAGUGCAAUAGCUCAUAUCUUUGUCAGAUUGAUUCAAUUUAGUUAAAUUAAUAGUAUUGGGUAAUAGUAAAAUGAAUAUGUACUGUCUUUUGGGUAUAAAUAGGACAGUUUCAUGAUUUCAUUGUAAGUUUUAUCAUUUUUACUUGAAUAAUCAAAUGAAAUUGGGAAGUUUAAACUAAAAAGUUUUGUGGAUGGGGCUGUUUUGUUGGGUAUUGCUCAUUUGGGAUAUUUAAUUUUGUUUUUGCAUGUAACCUUUGUUAUUAAGUGAUUUUGAAUAGAGCUUCAAUAGAGUUGUUAAUAGUUGUUGAUUCACUUCCUCCCUCUCUCAACUAAAUCUCAAUUUGCUUCUUAAUUUUUAAUUUUUAUACUGGUUUGGUUUUGGAUUCAAUUUGUGUGGAAUUCAAAAUAUAAAUUUUUUAUUUUUUUAAGUUGAAUUGAAGGUGUGAGAUGUUGUGGUCAUGACUGAAAUUUGGUUUUGGAGUACUUGCCACCAUUGACUGAAUUUCAUCAUAACUUUUCUAGCAUUUUCUACUACUUAAUUGGUUUCAUUUGUGGGUUUUUGAUUAUACAAGCGUGAUUAUGCUAAUUACAUUUUUUUUUAACUUAAACACAGAAUCAUAUUUGAAUUAUUAUUUUUUCCCAAGUGGAUUUGGCAUAACUGGUAGUUUUGCCCUCUUUCCUAAAUUGUGGAGUUUAAGUUUUUAUCAUUAAGUUGAUCGUUAAAUUGUAAUUUGUGAACUUUAUCAUUUCUUCUUCCAAAAUUUUCUUUGUUAACAUCUAGGUGAUGACAUUGGAUGUUCAAUUCAAAUAUCAGUUCAGUUUUUAAUUUGUAGUUCCUAAUGUGCCAUUAUGGAGUAACAAGAAGAUUUCAGAAAAAUUAUGGAGUAACAAUCAUUUGGGUGCUUUUUGAAUGGCUAAGUUCUCUCCCUCUUUCUCUCAUGUACUCAGCCACCGAAAUCGAAGUUGGGUUGAUGUUUAUCAGAUUGAUACAGAGGAAUUAACGAUGUUGACAUGCCCAAUAGCCACUGCACCCACUUCGUCUUUCCUCUUUGCCGGCUGUUAGGUGAUGGAAUAUACAAGUGGGUGACAUAGAUUGCACAACUGGGAGACAACGCGUAUCUAACUUAAAAAGCCUUUUGUUUUUACUGUCAUUCCUUCUUUAAAUACUAUAAAUGCACACAUAUGUAUGCGUAUAAUGUAAUGGAUAGAAUGAAUUUAUUUAAC